AUAAGGGUUAUCUGGCUGGAAUGUGUUAUUUCAUUGAUUGUCAGGGUUGGCUUGCUGAUCUGGCUGGUUAGGUGGGUGUCCCCUUCCUCACUGCAGCAUGUGUCUCCUGAGACUGCUGGGAUGAAGAGGACAAUUUUUCUUGUAAAGGAGAACCAUUCUCUGAUGAAGGGCAUGUGAAUAGCUGUGCUCCCCUUCUACAAUCUCCAAACAAACUCUCGAUUGUUCAGGUUUAACUGGCCAAUAAUAUGUUAAGCCUGUCAACAAAUGACUGCUUCCUAGAACCCUGACAUCAGU
rnacentral:snRNA from 1 species